rnacentral:lncRNA from 1 species
AUUUAAAUUACCAUCUCUUAUAAUAAAAAUAGCAAUAUCUUUUCAUUUUAAUUACUGCUAUCGAAACUUGAUACUAUUCAUUUUUUUCGUAGAGACCGGCUUCAUCUCGAUACCGAUCAUUCAAUACUUUAGCAAAUUAUAUCACGGUGAUAUCAACAUAUUCUUACGUGAUGAGUUCGGUGUCUCAUAUCUCUCAAACUUGUUCAGAAGCAUAAAAUAUCCAAAAUGACCAAAUAUCAAAUAAAGAUGUGUUGCAUCAAUUUUCAAAUUCUUAUAAGACGAUCUGUCAGAUGGUGUACGAUAAAGCAUUCUUUUACCACCUUUGAUCCGGAUUUAAAUCCGGGUCCUAUACUUUCAAUUUUUCAGGAAGGGUCCGGGUCCGGCACGUUGAACUUAUUUUUCAACCUUCCGGUUGAUUCCAAUAUGGUAUUGAUAAAAAUUGUUGAUGUUAUGGAACCCAGGAAUUGAAUCCGAAUCAUUUAUAUUUUAAGCCAGUUCUUUACCAUGUAGCCAUCUAGUUAGAAUUAAACUUGGAUUCUUCAGGAUGAAAUAUGAUACAUUUCCAUCCGAUCAGCCGGCCAACCAAAUAGAAUAUCAGAAUUUCUAAGUAUGAUAAAACAAUAUAUGAGAAUUCUGUAAUGUAUAUGGGCCAAAGUCAUCCGGAUUAGACAUCCUACCGAUCUUGGCUGGUCCGGAUGGUUUCGAUUAAUUUAGGUAAAUUUUAGUUAUGUUUUUCUCUAUGUCGUUUUCCACCCUAUGAUACUAAACAUUUCACUGUCCUCCACCAGACGCCCACAUUCCUGGUGGUGUUAUCCGUUAUGUGGAGGAUAGAAUUUAACAGAUUGGAUUCGAACUUCUCCUGAAGAAUCUGGAGAUGUGGGAUUCUGGAAUUGAAUCCUCCAGGAUCGAGGCACAACACGAUUGUAAUCUGUUCCUCCGGCCGACAUUUUAGUUAUGUUGCUGAAUGUAGCAACAUCGGUUAUUUUUUGUGAUGACCAUGUCAGACUUCAAAACAGGUUGGCUAUCACCUUUGAUGAGAUCGAUCGGAAAGUUAAAAAUGGGUUUCAAUUGUCUGACUCGGACUCCUAAAGAAACGGAGAUAUAAGUCUGCAGUUGAACUGGAUGUUGUAAUCGACUGAUUAACCCAAUAGUAUUGGGACGCGAUAUCGAUUUCGGAUUCUCCAGAUGAAAAUAUAUUAUACUUCCAUGUGUUCCACUGAGAGGAUAGAAAAUUUUAACGAAUAUUAUAUUAUACCUCUUAAAGAAAAAGAAGUACAAAUACAAAUAGCCAUUUUUGGAGAAGCAAAAUAAGAUGCACUAAUUCACGAUUAUGUUGUUUUUAUAUAGAAAAGAUACUUGAAAACACUCAUUUUCUUAUAUGUUGUGUUUGUUCUGAAAAGUUAACCUUUUGAGCAGAAUAAAACUUAUUGUAUCAAUUUUUCCCAACUCAAAAUUAUAAAAGUAU